rnacentral:rRNA from 1 species
AGGGAAUCUUCCGCAAUGGACGAAAGUCUGACGGAGCAACGCCGCGUGAGUGAUGAAGGUUUUCGGAUCGUAAAGCUCUGUUGCCAGGGAAGAACGUCCUGUAGAGUAACUGCUACAGGAGUGACGGUACCUGAGAAGAAAGCCCCGGCUAACUACGUGCCGGCAGCCGCGGUAAUACGUAGGGGGCAAGCGUUGUCCGGAAUUAUUGGGCGUAAAGCGCGCGCAGGCGGCUGUUUAAGUCUGGUGUUUAAUCCUGGGGCUCAACCCCGGGUCGCACUGGAAACUGGACGGCUUGAGUGCAGAAGAGGAGAGUGGAAUUCCACGUGUAGCGGUGAAAUGCGUAGAGAUGUGGAGGAACACCAGUGGCGAAGGCGGCUUUCUGGUCUGUAACUGACGCUGAGGCGCGAAAGCGUGGGGAGCAAAC